AUGACAGCCGACCUGGGAGGGCUGCAGGGGGGCUCUCCCCGGGCAGGGCUGGGCUCAGAGCCCCCGCCUAGGCAGAGGCACGUGUGCGUGCAUCUGUGGCCUGCACCCCCAUGGCCCAGUGCUGCUCUGGCAGCUUUACUCCAUCCUGUCCAGUCCUCACUGUGGCACCAGACGUCCUGUGACACCCUGGGGCUGGCCCACGAUCUUCCCAGCUACUCGGGGCCAGCGCAGCUCCCCCAGACCCCUCACAGCCGCCCCCAGGAUGGUUCCCACACUGGCCUCAGGACUCGAGGGCUCACCUGGUACGGGUGGCACAGCCCAGGCCAAACAAGGCCUGGCGCAGAAGAGGAGCCUGCCUGGGUAUGGGGCCUGGGGCGGGGGAGGUGGAGAGGUCUGCGUAAAAUGACAAAGUCAAGUGCACGGCGAGAUGGAACCCACAGUCUGUGGCCAACAGUCACUGCCCAGCCAGCCAAAGGAAGAAACCAAUCCUCAGGGUCAGGGGAGGCUUUGGACUCAAGUGUGGGGGGAGGGGGGAAGGAGAGGGAAGCGCCCCGGAGGGGGGCCAGGCUGGAGCACAGGAUGGGCCCUGUGGUGGGCUCCGUCAUGGGCUGCGGCACCAGCACCGCUGGGGUUAAGUCCUGUCUGGUGCGGUGGCCUCAGAGCCGAGCGGUGGUGCCAGGAACUCAGAAGCUGCAAUGUGAGAAGCAGCAGCAGAGGGGCAGGGCUGCAAAGGAGAGAGGACGGGGUGCCGGCAGGACCCUGAGGCUCCCCCUGUGCCUCGUUCCCCCCUGCCCUGUGGCUGCCCUGCCACGGCCCCCACUUGUGGGGGCCCACGGCCACGGCUGGGCCCCAAGCCCUCGGGCCGGGGUGGCAGCAGGCCUGUGGCACACAUCCGGGGAAGGGGCUGAGCGCCCAGGGCAGGCAGCAGGGAAAGCACAGGGCCCGCCGGCUGUGCCAGAGCACCAAAGGGCGAGCACCAGGCCGGCCGGGCCAGGGGCAGGCUGGGGAGGGCGGGCAGGUUGCUUGGGGUCCCAACCUCAGAGGCCUGGCCUUGACACCCUCCUCCUUGAGCAGAACUGA
rnacentral:lncRNA from 1 species